rnacentral:rRNA from 1 species
GGAAGUAAAAGUCGUAACAAGGUUUCCGUAGGUGAACCUGCGGAAGGAUCAUUAUCGAGUUAGGGUCUUUCCAGGCCCGAUCUCCAACCCUUGUGUUAACCAAACCACGUUGCUUCGGCGGGCCCGCUCCCCAGGGAGCCGCCGGAGGUCAGUCAAUUGACCUCUGGCCCGUUGCCCGCCGGUGGCCAACCACUCACAAACUCUUGAACCAAACCGUGUCGUCUGAGUAUAAACAAAAAUUAAAACAAAACUUUCAACAACGGAUCUCUUGGUUCUGGCAUCGAUGAAGAACGCAGCGAAAUGCGAUAAGUAAUGCGAAUUGCAGAAUUUCAGUGAGUCAUCGAAUCUUUGAACGCACAUUGCGCCCUUUGGUAUUCCGAAGGGCAUGCCUGUUCGAGCGUCAUUAUCACCCCUCAAGCCCUGGCUUGGUGUUGGACUUUUUUUUAGGUCUGAGCCCUGGUGCUCUGACCGGUCCCAAAGACAAUGACGGCGUCCGUUGGACCCUCGGUGCAAUGAGCUUUUUUUCCAAUCAAGCACGCCCCGAGUUGCAAGGUCCUCCGGCACGGUCCUACAACCUUAUUUUUCUCAGGUUGACCUCGGAUCAGGUAGGAAUACCCGCUGAACUUAAGCAUAUCAAUAAGCGGAGGA